rnacentral:rRNA from 1 species
GACGAAGGAUGCAAGCGUUAUCCGGAUUCAUUGGGUUUAAAGGGAGCGUAGGUGGCCUUAUAAGUCAGUGGUGAAAUCUCUGGGCUUAACCCAGAAAUUGCCAUUGAUACUGUAGGGCUUGAGUAUAGUUGCCGUUGGUCGGGAAAUAUGACAUGUAGUGGUGAAAAUACAUAGAGAUGUCAUAGAAACACCGAUUGCGAAGGCAGCUGACGAAACUAUAACUGGCACUGAGGACUCGAAAAGUGCGGGGAUCAAA